rnacentral:misc_RNA from 1 species
GAUGAAGAACGUAGCGAAAUGCGAUAAGUAAUGUGAAUUGCAGAAUUCCGUGAAUCAUCGAAUCUUUGAACGCACAUUGCGCCCACUGGUAUUCCGGUGGGCAUGCCUGUUCGAGCGUCAUUAUCCUCCCUCAAACCCCGGGUUUGGUGUUGGACCCAAGUUGUGUGAACAACUGGUCUCAAAGACAAUGACGGCGUCCGUGGGACCCUCGGUGCAACGAGCUUUUAGGAGCACGCAUCGAGUUGCAAGGACCUUCCGGGCCGGUCUCCUUUACCAUUUUACAAGGUUGACCUCGGAUCAGGUAGGAAUACCCGCUGAACUUAAGCAUAUCAAUAAGCGGAGGA